CUUCACAGCCCCCACCAGACAGAGCUCCAAGUCUCUGGUGGAAAACCCCGCCCCCAGCAGUGGUGCUAAGGUGGAGGACUUCUGCUACCCUGUAGAGUGUCUGGCUCUAACAGUAGAAGAGGUGAUGCACAUCAGACAGGUUCUGGUCAAAGCUGAGCUGGAGAAGUUCCAACAGUACAAAGACGUUUACAACGAACUGAGGAAAGGAAAGGUG